rnacentral:rRNA from 1 species
UACGGGGGGGGCAAGCGUUGUUCGGAAUUACUGGGCGUAAAGGGUCUGUAGGUGGCCAACUAAGUCAGACGUGAAAUCCCUCAGCUUAACUGGGGAACUGCGUCUGAUACUGGUUGGCUUGAGUGCAGGAGAGGAAUGCGGAAUUCCAGGUGUAGCGGUGAAAUGCGUAGAUAUCAGGAGGAACACCAAUAGCGAAGGCAGCUCGCUGGGACGUUACUGACACUGAGGCGCGAAAGCGUGGGGAGCGAACAGG